rnacentral:lncRNA from 1 species
GAAGUUUGCUAAAAGACCCCUGGAGACGUCCUCAUUGUGGCCUCCCUGCUGUUGUGUUUAAUUUGGUUGAUCUUCUCUGCCCUCCUGCUUUUCAGAAUUAAAAGGCUAAAAAGAGUUUUCAGAGAAAUGGAAUAAUUGUAUUGCUGAUCUACGUAAACAAGUUGAAGAAUUGUCUGAAAGAAAAUAUGGUGUGUCUGAACUGGAAAAGUCCUGUGAUAGUUUGUUCAUGAGCAUUUACACAAUGGAGUUACUGUUCAUCAUGGGGGUACUGUGGACAAGCCCAGGGCUGCUGGUG